GGCGACCGGCGCACGGGUGAGUAACACGUAUCCAACCUGCCCUUUACUCGGGGAUAGCCUUUCGAAAGAAAGAUUAAUACCCGAUAGCAUAAUGAUUCCGCAUGGUUUCAUUAUUAAAGGAUUCCGGUAAAGGAUGGGGAUGCGUUCCAUUAGAUAGUAGGCGGGGUAAUGGCCCACCAAGGCGACGAUCGGUAGCCGGACUGAGAGGUUGAACGGCCACAUUGGGACUGAGACACGGCCCAG
rnacentral:rRNA from 1 species